UUCUCCCAUUCUGAUUUCUCAGACUCAACCAUCCGGUAUCUAUCCAGAGCAUACUAUAUGAUCAGCAGCAGGCUCGGGUCUGUGGGAUAAAAAUGCAAUAGACAGUAGUUUAUACGGCGCUCAGUCUGCCCCAAGCACUGGUCUAAGUGCCUUCCAUGCAGGAACUGAUCUGAUCCUAGUAGCAGCCAUGGGAGAUUCAAGACUCAAGAAGCUUAAUGAACCCCAAGCAGGAUAAAAUUAAAGAAAACCACACGUAGACCCAUCAUAAUCGAAUUGGUGAAACUUAAGGUGAAGAAAAGCCUUUGAAAGCAGCUAGAGGAAAAACUACACUUUACAUACAAAGGAACAAGAAUUCUAAUGCCAGGAAAUUUUUCAUUGGAACCCCGAAGGUCAGAAGACAGUGGAACAUCAUUUUUAAAGUGCUGAAAGAAAAACACCAUCAACCCAGAAUUCUAUAGCCAGCAAAAAUAUCCUCCAGGUAUGAAGUCAAAAUGAAGCUAUUUUCACAUGAAGGAAAACUAAGACAGUUUGUCACAAGAAUACCUGUAUCGUAAGAAUUGUUAAAGGAAAUUCAUCAUGUUGAAGGAGAAUGAUAACAAAAGGCAGCUGGGUCUUGAGGAUUGAAGGAAGAAAACCAGAAAGGAACAGAAACAAAUAACUGGAUCUCUCUAGUGUCUAAAUGGAUCCCAUCUGCUUUUGCAAUCAAUCUGUUGGGAUGUGCUGUUUUGGAUGAAAUAUGUGAAGGAAGUCCAGCUCCAUCCAAAUGUGUAGUCAUCAGCGACCAUGUUUUGCGGAUGCUUAGGCAGCCUAUGGAGAGGCCCAUGGGAGGAGGAAUUGAGGCCUGCCAGCAACCACAGGAGGGAGCUUAGAAGUGGAUCCUCCCCACUGUCCUAAGAAAGCCUUUAGAGGAAGCCACAGCUCGGGUCUUCAGCUUGACUCCAACCUCGUAAGAGGCUUUGAACCCCAGUCAUCUGGCUAAGACAUGCUCGGAUUCAUGAUGCACAGAAACUCUGAGACAGCAAAUGUUUGCUGUUUUAGGCUACUGAGUUUUGGGGUUUCUUGUUACACGGAGCGAUAGAUAACUAAUAAACCUGUAUAUCACCAAUCCUUGAUCUCGGGGAUUCCUUCAGACUCCCUCAUUCACCACUGUCUCCACUCACCAUUCUCUAGCACCUUGACUCUAGCUCCCUAACCCCCUAACCUCUCAUUUUGACCCUUUCUGUCUUUGGCCUCUUGCCUGGCUUCUUGGGUUGAUGGUCAGGUCUUGGCCUUAUCAUGUAACUUUGACCUUGGUUCUUCUCCAGACACAGCGUUGAGGAUCUGCCUUCUGGCACCAUGCUUUAUAAUCUUGUGGAAGAAACUAUAAACUCCUAAACUCUGCUCUGGCCAGGCUCACCUCUCACCUGCUCCAGGUCUAUGCAGAAGCAGGAUCAGAAAACCAGCUUGACUUAGUAGAACAGGAAAGCUUAACCAGACACUCUGGAAAGAUUUUCAGUGAAGGCUGAAACAACCUUCUUAUCAUGAGAAAAUCCAUACAUUGUAGCCCUUCGUCCCCAUUCUGCUAGCGUUCCUAUCAAUCCGGACUUUCCUGCAUUUGUUAGCUGAUGGAUGGCAAAUGACUGGUCCAUUGCUUUGUAAAAACAAGAUGUUGUUUUCAGAUAUUUAUCUUUCCCCCCUCUCCCUCCCUCCUCCGCUUCCCUGAAAAGCUUUCAUUUGUCAAGUCUAGUCGGUAUUUCAUUCAUUAUUAUUAUUAUCUUUGAAAUUUAGACGUUAAAACGAUCGGGUCUGGGUUCCAUUAUGGGGCUCUGGUGACUUAGGGUAAAUAUGUAAAUAUGCUCUGAGACUGAGAGAGUCUGUGGCUACUUUUUCUCAGUCACCCUGCUUUCAUGAUAGCUCAGGCCUCCGAGGAAACCCACGGCUGACUCAGCGUUGGGUACAGAACCAGAAUUUGAUCCACAUCCACUGGAUUGCCUAUGAUAGAUACUAGUGAUUCAAAAUAAAUUCGACGUGG